AGGGUGUAAACGCUGCAGACUUGGUGUUGGAGGCCCUUUGGGGGCAUUCAGUGCCGGAGAGAAGUUGUUAAGUCUGCUACUUGGGGAGUACGUCCGCAAGGAUGAAACUUAAAGGAAUUGGCGGGGGAGCACCGCAACGGGAGGAGCGUGCGGUUUGAUUGGAUUCAACACCGUAAAACUCACCAGGGAAGACUGUUACAUGAAGGCCGAGAUGAAGACUCUGCUAGAUUUUCAGAGAGGUGGUGCAUGGCGUCAGUGACU
rnacentral:rRNA from 1 species